GGCUGGUCCGAUGGUAGUGGGUUAUCAGAACUUAUUAACAUUAGUGUCACUAAAGUUGGUAUGCAAUCCCCUACUGCUAAAUUUGACUGGCUUUAA
rnacentral:Y_RNA from 1 species